rnacentral:rRNA from 1 species
UGGGGAAUUUUGCACAAUGGGGGAAACCCUGAUGCAGCGACGCCGCGUGAUUUAGAAGGCCUUCGGGUUGUAAAAAUCUUUUCUAUGGGAAGAAAAUGACAGUACCAUAGGAAUAAGGACCGGCUAAUUACGUGCCAGCAGCCGCGGUAAUACGUAAGGUCCGAGCGUUGUCCGGAAUCAUUGGGCGUAAAGGGUACGUAGGCGGGUAAGCAAGUUAGAAGUGAAAUCCUAUAGCUCUACUAUAGUAAGCUUUUAAAACUGCUCAUCUUGAGGUAUGGAAGGGAAAGUGGAAUUCCUAGUGUAGCGGUGAAAUGCGCAGAUAUUAGGAGGAAUACCGGUGGCGAAGGCGACUUUCUGGCCAUAACCUGACGCUGAGGUACGAAAGCGUGGGUAGCAAACAGG